rnacentral:tRNA from 1 species
AGGGUUGUAGCGCAGUUUGAUAGUGUUUUUGUUUUGGGUACAAAAUGUCACGGGUUCAAAUUUUAUUAUCCCUA